rnacentral:rRNA from 1 species
GACGAACGCUGGCGGCGUGCCUAAUACAUGCAAGUCGAACGGAAAGGCCCGGCACUUGUGGGGUGCGCGAGUGGCGAACGGGGGAGUGACACGCGAGUAACCUGCCCUUGACUGCGGGAUAACAUCAGGAAACAGGGGCGAAAAUAGGAUAGGAGCUCCUGCUGCAUGGUGGGGGAUGGAGAGUGUCGGCGGUUGGGGAUGGAAUCGCGGGUUAUCAGCUUGUUGGUGGGGUAGUGGCGUACCACGGCGUUGACGGGUAGCCGGCCUGAGAGGGUGACCGGCCACAAUGGGACUGAGGUACGGCCCAGACUGCAACGUGAGGCAGCGGUGGAAAACAUUGCACAAUAGGCGGAAGCCUGAUACAGCGUCGCCGCGUGCGGAAUGACUGCCUUCGGGUUGUAAACCGCUUUCGCCUGUGACGAAGCGUGAGUGACGGUAAUUGGUAAGGAAGCACCGGCUAACUACGUG